rnacentral:rRNA from 1 species
UACAGAGGUUUCAAGCGUUGUUCGGAUUUAUUGGGCGUAAAGGGUGCGUAGGCGGCAUUACAAGUUCGAGGUGAAAGCUCUGAGCUUAACUCAGAAUAUUCCUCGAAUACUAUAGUGCUAGAGAAUUGGAGAGGAGGCUGGAAUUUUCGGUGUAGCAGUGAAAUGCGUAGAUAUCGAAAAGAACUUCAGUGGCGAAAGCGAGUCUCUAGACAAAUUCUGACGCUGAAGCACGAAAGCUGGGGGAGCAAACGGG